AAAUUCCAUAAUGAUUUGAUAAAAGCGAGAUAAUUUUUGUAAUGUUGAAAGUUCGUUUCAGUAAUGUUGAAAUUUAUGUAUACAUAUAUAUAUAUCCAUUUGGUAAUAGAAAGGUUAAGCAGUCAACCUUUUCUUAACUAAAUUUCAUUGGAUUAUUUUGCAAUGGAGGUGUGUUUAAAAUGUGAAUGAAGUAAGGCAGCAAGGC
rnacentral:lncRNA from 1 species